AUAUAUGGUAUUAACUAAUUACCAUCAGCAAAUAACAUGGCUCCCUCAUGAUCACAAACAACAAACCCCACUACUGCUGCAUGCUUAUAUACAGUGCCAUCAAAAUUUAAAAGAAACACUCCACAGAGAGGAGGGUCCUAUGCAAUAUAAGAGGAAGAGAGCUGAUUAUUCAGUUGAGAAGAGCACCAGAUUUGUGACUGAGUGCAUCGAACAUAAGGUGA
rnacentral:lncRNA from 1 species